rnacentral:rRNA from 1 species
CACGUAGGGUGCGAGCGUUGUCCGGAAUUAUUGGGCGUAAAGAGCUCGUAGGCGGUGUGUCGCGUCGGCCGUGAAAACCUGCAGCUUAACUGUGGGCUUGCGGUCGAUACGGGCAUCACUGGAGUUCGGCAGGGGAGACUGGAAUUCCUGGUGUAGCGGUGAAAUGCGCAGAUAUCAAGGAGGAACACCGGUGGGCGAAGGCGGGUCUCUGGGCCGAUACUGA